rnacentral:rRNA from 1 species
AGUGAACGCUGGCGGUAGGCCUAACACAUGCAAGUCGAACGGCAGCACAGUAAGAGCUUGCUCUUACGGGUGGCGAGUGGCGGACGGGUGAGGAAUACAUCGGAAUCUACUUUUUCGUGGGGGAUAACGUAGGGAAACUUACGCUAAUACCGCAUACGACCUACGGGUGAAAGCAGAGGAUCUUCGGACCUUGCGCGAUUGAAUGAGCCGAUGUCGGAUUAGCUAGUUGGCGGGGUAAAGGCCCACCAAGGCGACGAUCCGUAGCUGGUCUGAGAGGAUGAUCAGCCACACUGGAACUGAGACACGGUCCAGACUCCUACGGGAGGCAGCAGUGGGGAAUAUUGGACAAUGGGCGCAAGCCUGAUCCAGCCAUGCCGCGUGGGUGAAGAAGGCCUUCGGGUUGUAAAGCCCUUUUGUUGGGAAAGAGAAGCAGCAGGUUAAUACCCCGCUGUUCUGACGGUACCCAAAGAAUAAGCACCGGCUAACUUCGUG